UGCCAGCCGCCGCGGUAAUACGGAGGGAGCUAGCGUUGUUCGGAAUUACUGGGCGUAAAGCGUGCGUAGGCGGAUCGACAAGUUGGGGGUGAAAUCCCGGGGCUUAACCCCGGAACUGCCCUCAAAACUGUCGAUCUAGAGACCGGGAGAGGUAAGCGGAAUUCCUAGUGUAGAGGUGAAAUUCGUAGAUAUUAGGAAGAACACCAGUGGCGAAGGCGGCUCACUGGCUCGAUACUGACGCUGAGGCACGAAAGCAUGGGUAUCAAACGGGAUUAGAUA
rnacentral:rRNA from 1 species